rnacentral:rRNA from 1 species
UACGAGGGGGGCGAGCGUUGUUCGGAAUUAUUGGGCGUAAAGGGCGCGUAGGCGGUCGUGACAAGUCACUUGUGAAAUCUCCGGGCUUAACUCGGAACGGUCAAGUGAUACUGUCGGACUAGAGUACAGAAGGGGCAACUGGAAUUCUCGGUGUAGCGGUGAAAUGCGUAGAUAUCGAGAGGAACACCUGCGGCGAAGGCGGGUUGCUGGGCUGAUACUGACGCUGAUGCGCGAAAGCCAGGGGAGCGAACGGG